AUAGCGGUCAGUAGGUUUCCGGUAUAGGGUGGUGUUUAUGUGGCCAUUGUUUAUUAGCACUGUAGUGUCCAGGAAGUGGAUCUCUUGUGUGGACUGGACCAGGCUGCACCAGAACUCUCACAAACGCAGCCAUAAUUAUUCUUAACAAAGAGGACCUCUUGCUGUACACUGGCAUAGGGCUGUGUUGGCCACCUCCCCAUCUGAUGCCAAGCUCUGUAAGGCGCUGACUGUCUUCGGUGUCUAUUCUUAGCUUGGCUCCUGUCUCCUCAGCUCUGGCAGAUUCCCAGCCAGUUCUCUCUCCUUCCUCUGGGAAGGAGCUGGACUUCCCUGCCCUUCUCCCAACUCUUGGUCGGCAGCUUCCUCUGCCACUGACAAGCCUCAGCUGCCUUUCAGUCCCAUUAAGUCAGUUUACCUUUCUCCCCAUGGUAAAGAGUUCCUGGCCAUUCCUUGGUCUGCCUCUGCUCCCAGCUGAUCUGGGUUAUCCCCUUCACUGGACCAGUCCCCCCUGCUUCUCAGCCAGCUCAGUAAAUGAUUUUUCUUGUGUCUCCAUGAGCGACAUGUAAUGCUGUCAAUCUUUUCCCACAGGGAAGACUAACUGAUUCACUCACUGCUCCCCUGCCCUGCCGUUUGAGGAGCAUCUGGCAUCCCUUGAUGCUUGUGUCAUAUGUUUGAUUGUGUUGUAUCUUUCCCCACACACCACACUUUCUUAAACAGCCUUUCAUCACACCAGUGUGAGUGGCAUUUCCCGUUUAUGUUGAAGAAUCCACGAAUGAAACACACGGCAGCUAGGAAAAAAUAAUAAAGUGGUGGGGGGGAGAGAAUAAAAACAUACUUUUUUAAUAAAAAAAUUUUAAUUAAAUACACGUGCAGCUUAAAAGGAGUUGACUAUAGCUGGUGUGAAAAAAAAAAUUAACCAAUUGGUGUGUUUUUUUUGUCACACUUUUGGAAGUUUGCUGACCCGCUCCAGUUCAGUCACGGUUUGCUAACCCAAGCAAAGCCAACAAACGGCCUACAUUUGAGAAGAUUAUUUUGAAGGCAACUGCCGUGUUUCCAUUUGUCCUAAAUCGGGGGCUCAAAGGGAUUAUUAUUGUUUUAGUUGUACAAUACAGUAGACCCUCAGAGUCCUGAACACCAGAGUUACGAACUGACCGGUCAACCACACUCCUAAGUUGGAACCAGAAACUACUGUAAACUACUAAAAAAGUAAAGGGAAAAUUAAAAAAAAAUUUGAGAAGGUAAAAAAAACUGUUUCAUGCUUGUUUCAUUUACAUUAAGAUGGUUAAAAGCAUUUUUCUUCUGCAUAGUAACGUUUCAAAGGUGUAUUCAGUCAAUGUUUGGUUGUAAACUUUUGAAAGAACCAUAAUGUUUUGUUCAGAGUGACGAACAAGCUCCAUGCCCAAGGUGUGUGUGUAACUCUGAGGUUCUGUAUUCUCAUAGCGCCAGUCAUUGAUCGGGAUGACCCACUGGGCUUGAUGCUGUAGAGACAGAGACCAAAACCACAGUCCCGGCCCCAAAGAGCUCAGCAUCCAAGUAAUAAAUUAGUGUCCCUUUCAAUAACAUUUAACAUGCUUGUUUCUCUUUUCCCUUUGCCGCACGUUUCUUACAGGUUCUCCCUCCAGGUUACCCUGUUCAGUCCCUGUCUUUCUCCCUGAAUCCUUCUCCCCCACCAGGUUCCCCUGUCCAGUCCCAACUGUUUUUCCCUUCACCCUGCCUCGCUCUCAGACCCCCAUAAGCUGUCAUCAUGCUACAUCAGCCUAGUGUGGGGUUUUAAACGGGCUUGGUGCAAUGAGUUUGGCUUAUCCAGCUUGAUCCUUGGGUGCUCAUCGGCAGGCGGGAAACUUUUACGGCUAAGUGACACUUUGUCCCCCUGCCAUCGGCCGGGAUGCGCCUUGCGUCUCUGUCAGAAAGUGUUGCUGUUGAUUACAGACGGGGUUACGCAGCCUGUGAUUGUUCUGGGAUCCAUCAUUCUUGCACCGCUAGAGGGGGAGGCAAGAAGCGCAAUGACCAGCUGCCUCCACUACCAAACUGCCUAUAGGUCACUGGAUUGAGAAGGACCCACAUUAUUCCUCCUAGAAACACCACCCUUGGCCAUCCCUCCCCCCCCCCCCAAGACCUGAGGGGAAACGACUGAUGAACAGUGAAUUCUUACACAUCGAAGGGUGCUGCACUAGAGGAGUGGUUCUCAACCAUGUACCUUGGGGAGUACACAGAGGUCUUCCAGGGGUGGCAGGCUCGGGUCGGCUCAGCUCUGAAGGAAUACUGGGGGUCCUCCAGGGACAUGGAGACUCGGAUUUCAGAGACUCGAGGAAGCCCAUUGAGGUACUGAACCCAACGGCUCAGGGACGCAAUCUGAGCCAGGAUCCCCAGAGCCAGGAAAAAGGGCAAAUUCGCUCCCCGGUGAAAGAGGCCAGCAGGAAAGUGAAGACCGGAGUCUUGUUACCAGCAUCGAAAAAUGUCACCUGCCCCCUGUUUGCACAGCGGGGGAUAACGAAAACCUGUGGGUUCAGCUAUCCCUGCCCUGGUGUACUUGCAGCCAAUGCCAGGCCUGGAGGAAGGAGAAGAAAAGGGAGCCUGGCUCAUUUGGGAGCUGAUCAGGGUGCAGGCAGGAAUUCUCUGCCUGCCUGCAAGGGAUGGAUCAGCGACCUGCCAGCCAGCAGAUAAGCCCCAAAUGUGGGGUAAGUGGACUAAAGAGACUUGUAGGAAGUAACCCCGGGACCCUGGUCUUGACCCCAUCUCUCCUGUUUAGGGGUUGAGCUACACAGGGUCCUGGGCUGGGACCCAGUGGAGAGGGAGGGCCUGGGUCCCCCUACCACCACCUUUGGCCUUACACACUGCAGACCAGCGAUCUACCUGGCCAUGGAAGACCCUAUCACAGAUGGCAAAUCCCAGAGUCUCCUUAAACAAAAAAACAAAAACAAAAAAAUCACAUCAGAAUUCAAUUCCACACAGGAAGAUUUGAAUCUGAACUGUGAUCCUGCUCCACAUGCUGAGAUGGGAGUUUUUCCUUUAACAUGGUGCCCAAGGCCCUUCCUAGCAUUAUGACGUGUCGGGGAGUGAGAAAGAACCAUGUACCUGCUCGAGGCACUUCUGACAUCCUAGAGCGGAGAGAGAGAAAAGAGAGCUCCAUGCCACAUACUGGGGAUCCCUCCUGCUCUGGAGGGGUCUUGCUUUGCCGUCACCUAAAGUCAGCAUCUUUUCAAAUGAUGACAGAUUCAAACGCUCAUGCUUCUGAAGACCCUCUUCCCCGUGCAGGGACCUGGGGUGUCUCUAACACAGUCUCACCUGCAGGAAUUCACUCGCUGGCUGCCAGCACUUCCCCUCCAUCUCACUGAUCAGCUCGCUGAAAUAGGAAUUCUCCUCGCAGAGCUGGGUGUCAAUUUCAUUCUGCCACUUUUCAGGCUCCUUGUCCAGCUCUCCCAGCUAUACUGAACACAAUCUUUCUUUGAUUCAGAAGGCCCUGCAGGAUCUUGCAGUGCCCCACGGUCAUCAUUAUCAGCAUCAGUUAUCACUGUAGAUGUAGGAGAUUGCGCUGACUGGACUGACCCUAUGACACCCUGGAAGUUGCUGACUGGACUGACCCUGUGACACCCUGGAAGUUGCUUUUUUGAAUAAAAUCCCUGAUAUCAGU